rnacentral:rRNA from 1 species
AAAUUGAAGAGUUUGAUCAUGGCUCAGAUUGAACGCUGGCGGCAGGCCUAACACAUGCAAGUCGAACGGUAACAGGAAGCAGCUUGCUGCUUCGCUGACGAGUGGCGGACGGGUGAGUAAUGUCUGGGAAACUGCCUGAUGGAGGGGGAUAACUACUGCAAACGGUGGCUAAUACCGCAUAACGUCGCAAGACCAAAGAGGGGGACCUUCGGGCCUCUUGCCAUCAGAUGUGCCCAGAUGGGAUUAGCUUGUUGGUGAGGUAACGGCUCACCAAGGCGACGAUCCCUAGCUGGUCUGAGAGGAUGACCAGCCACACUGGAACUGAGACACGGUCCAGACUCCUACGGGAGGCAGCAGUGGGGAAUAUUGCACAAUGGGCGCAAGCCUGAUGCAGCCAUGCCGCGUGUAUGAAGAAGGCCUUCGGGUUGUAAAGUACUUUCAGCGGGGAGGAAGGUGUUG